GGCCACCCUCUGCGGGGCAAUCGAUUGGGGGGCUCUGCGAUUGAUUGCCCCACAGAGGGAGGCC
rfam:Myotis brandtii contig192130, whole genome shotgun sequence.